ACAUCACAUGAAUUACAAUACAUCAUCCAUCGACUCCUCUACACAUAAAGGUUCAAGGCCCAACAAGUGCACCACAAAAUAGUUCUACAAGUGCAGGUGCACAGCAAAAGGGUCCAACAAGUGCACAGUCAAACAUCAACAUAGUUCUACAAAGAUUGGAUGAGAAGCACAAGUUUUUAUUGAUCACACAUGACAUCAAUGAGAAACGAAGCUUCUUGCACCCUCCUCCUGUCCUCGGCUUCUUCCGAGUGCUUCAGAUCAUCCUGGUAAUUCGAAUAAUCAAAUAUAAGAAAGCAUACAAAAUAUGAGCAAACGAAAGACAAAUGGUGAUUUUACAUUCAGAAGUGAGACAUAAAAGUUCAGAAGUGAGAACUAAUAAGUGAAGGAAAUUUAUGUUAGCAGGAUGGACGGCCCAAAGUUGAGCUGGAUUUUUAUUGGGAACAGUGCCAAAAUUUCCUUCACUUAUUAGUUCUCAUCAUUGCCUACAGGAGGUUACACAAGAUUCCUACCAAAAAAUGAUCAAUCACCUGACUGGAUGGGUUGUGCAACACACUUCAUGGGUGGCGCAGAGUCCUACCAUCAAAUUCUCUGCCAAUUCUUGUCGUGUGUGAAUGGCGCAUGCCAAUAAACAAUAACUUCUCUUAGUGAAGGUACAAAUAAAAUACAUGCAAAUCUUUUUUAGUCUAAUAUUUACGUCUCUAAAUAACUGUCUAUUCUGCUUCUAAUCACCAUGAUGACAAAAAUGCAUGCAAAGUGUGCGUGCACUUGGUACAGAAUAUUAUAAUGUACGACUGAUAGAUAAACUAGAACUAUUUCAUCAUCCAACAAUGGCUCUGAGUACAUGUAUGUUUGCAUGUAGGUGCAGUUUAAUAUAUGAUGCAAGAUUACACAUCGGAUCUAUGUAUCAUGAGAAUAUGUGGUUGACCUGGUGAACAUCGUAAGUUCUGACGGAAUAUGUACGUGUUGGACUAGCUCCUUAUGUGCUCUUAAUAUUAAGCUACUAAUUAAUCCAUACAAUAUCUCUCAUCAUCUGUUACAUAAAGUCAUCAAUAGGCGUAAAAGUUAUAUAAUUUCUCUCGUCUUCUGUUACAUAGAUGCAAGAUUAAGGUGUCAACACUAUGUAAAUAUGUUCUCUAACUACCAAAUUGUUGUUUCCAUGGCUGGCUGUACUCGACCGAUGCUACUCAAACAUAUCAAUUUAUGUAAUUCUGUCACAAAGGAGAUAUCCCCGGCCGACGCACAACCAUUUUAUUAAGCAUAAACAUAUUAAUUUAUUGUUGUGAUAUAUCAUUUUGUAUUAUUAUCAUCACUUGAUAAUAAUAAUAUCAUUAGGUCAUCAUGGAUAUAGUUUUCAUCAUGUGCAUCGGUGCAACAAGACAGUAAUGAGUUCGAUGUAUUGUAUUUCAAAUUUUCUUUUACUUAAUCUCAGCAUGAUUUAAUAAGGAAACUCAUUUUAGUCCCACAUGUGAAAUGCAAGAAGGCGGAAGAACUUAUUUUCUGCACUAUAGUUCAAAAAAAAUCAGAAGUUUGACAUGUGAAACACUCACAAAAAACUACUCUCCUAGAACAGAUGACAUCUUACCAAGGAACCUGUAGCAACGUUAGCACAAUUUAGUGUGGCACUGACACCGUCUCCAUUGAUAUGGCUAACACUCACCCACACUUAAUUGCUCCACCUCAUUAUAUAUGCACUAAUGUUUCUACAGAUAUAAAUAGAUGAAGUUCGUGAACAUCAUCUAUUUCAUACCGUCCUGAUGGUGACUUAUAAUAUUUCCUAUAUUUAUGGUAUCUUCGAUUAUUAUUUUGGAAGAUGGUAGCAUUAUUUAUCAGAUAAAUAUAGGGUUUGUGGUCGGUGGCGUAUAUACAUGAACAUAAAAGAGGCUGGAAUUGUGGAAGUCGAACAUACUUGCCACCGCGGUAGAGUGAGGUGCCAUGGGGCAGGUACUGGAAGGCCGCAGCCACCCGGCACCCACUCAUGCCCAAGCGGCACCCACUCAUGCCCAAGCCUUCUUUCUACUCAUCCUCUUCCUUUGCCCAAUAUGGAACUCCCGCCAUCGCCGCCUGCAAGAAAAAUAACCAUGGUUGGCAAUGUAUCAUAAAAAAUACCACGAUACAAACAAAACACAUUGUAAUUUCAUGGUGCAGCAAACCACACCCUUUGCUUCUAGUAAAGAUUACUCAUGAUGCUUAUUUUGAUACUAAAUUCCAAAGAGGAGGAUGGGGCUGCCAAGGACGUGAUUCUUAAGGCCAAAUUAUAAUUGUUGCAGUAGGUACCAGCAUCCACGUUCAAGGUCCUUUGCAUGCUGAAUGUUUGGCGUCUUUAGAGUGGUAGAACAUAUGGGCAUGUGCCAUGUUAUUCUUGAAACAGAUUGCCUAAAUCUCCAACAUGCCACUAUUAGUAAUGUGUUCAAUGAUGCUGCACUAGGGUUCUUAUUCCGUAAUGUCCAAUGUCUUCUCCCGCUCUUCCUAUCUCAUGCUGAAAUGCAUUAUAAGCAUAACUUUAACAAGUCAACUCAUGAGCUUGCUAGCUUGGGUGCUACGGAUAGGUCACCCAAGUGAACUUUAACAACAUGGUUCAUUAUUCAGAUAAGUUAAACUAAGUGCAGGUCACCCAAAACUGAAUUUCUUGCAAUCCAAACAAUACAAACAGCAGGGAGAUGGUUGCAUAGAUACAAAUCCAUGUGGUGGUAGCAAAAUUGACCAAUCUGGACCUCAUGUUCUCUCUGUUUGUGGUACUAACAAACUAAAUAAAAAAAUUGGGCUUGUUCAUACAAAUCCCUCUUGAAUUCCUUGACACAACCAUGAUUUUUAUCGAAUAUUCCUUAACAUCAUUAGUGAGCGGAGGAAGAUGCUACCUGCCGCAAUGGGUCGUCGUGGCCGUGCUUGAGCCCGGGCAAGAUCUCUUGGUCGCCCUAGGAGUAGAACCCACCUGCCCCUCGUUGAGCAGAGCAGGGCCGACGCCUUGAAAUCCUUUCCUUGACACAAUACUCACAUGCAUCAAGAGGAGAUGAAGUGGAUUUGUAGAAGAAUGAGAGAACAGGAGGAGGGAUUUGCACCCUCUAGGGUUUCGGGCGCUGGGAGGGAGGCUCCAUGCGUGAUGGGGAGAAGGAGCUUCGUCUAAAUGGGGUAGUGGUGGAGCUGUGUCGUUCAUGGUAUCGGGACAUGGGAGGAAGAAGCCUUCCCAUCCAUGACAUCCCGGUGCUCGAGCGGCGACAUUGUGCUGGAUCUAGGAGGGAGGCGAGACGAUGUGAGGAAGAGAGGGAGGGAUGUGACGAGGACGAGUGGAGGGACUCACCUGAGUCAACAGAACAACGCCAGUGAUGUGCUGGCCCAAACCCUAGCUGUUGGUCAGGGUUGCUCUUGGCCGCUGGAGGACACGCGCCCCAGAUCUGGCCCAAUGGGAGGAAGGAGCAUUGGGAGGGGCAUGGUAGUGUGCUGGGCGCCGCCGAAGGACGCCAAAAUCAGGCGAGAUCGGGCGCCACAGGUGGUGGCGGCGGCGAGGUGUGGUGCGGGGUAGAAGAAGAGAUGAGUAAGAUAGGAUCUCACGAUGAGUGGGAUUUCGCCCUUGCGGGCUGGGUCUUCUUUAUUUAUUGUUCGCGGGCUAUGAGAUUGAAAACCAAACGAAAUCAAUGGCGGGCUGACCCAAAACUCUGGGUGCCAAAGUGUGAGUACGACUUUACCUCACAAUUUUUUCUUCAUUAUUAUUUCUUUCUUCUCUUUUUCCCUAUAAAAAGCUACUAUUCCCAACUAUACUUUUCUGAUUCAAAAUUUUGUUCUCAAGAUUCAAAAAAUGUUCAUGCUUUCAAAAACCGUUCAUGGUCCCAAAUUUGUUUAGUAUUUUUCAAAAAAAAUCUUGGUUUUAAAAUUUGUUCUUGAGAUUAAAAAAUGUUCGCGCUUUAAAAAAUUGUUCGUGCAUUCAAUUUUUUCUCUAAUUUAAAAAACAUUCAUGUUGUCAAAAAAUGAUAGAGAAAUUCUACGUUUGUUCAUUUUGAUAAAAAAGGAAAAAAAGGAAAACAGGAAGAAAAACGAGCCAAAAAAGAAAUAAGAAAUAAGUAAAAAAGAAAAAAAGAAACAGAAAAAAGGAAAUGAUCCGAUUUUUGUAGACAAAAUAAUAGCUCGGCCGACCCAGUCGGGCGCCCCUGUGUGCGUGGGAGCGACCCCAUGCCGCACGUAGGAGUUCCCGUUGACUUGAUCUAGCAUUUUUGGUUCUAGGGUUCGUUUCUAAGUCACGGACUUGACCCAAUAUCUUUUCUUUUGUUGAUAAAAAAUGAACUUGGCCCAGGUUUUGCCCAAAGGAGACCCACUUUUGAACGCAUAUAUAGUUAAAAAAAUCAACUGUAACUACACCGUAUGCACGAUGAAUACCUACUAGUAGGUGGUUGGUGGAUGCGUGACAUGUCUUUUGAUUCGAGUCUUGUUGGUCCCCUUUUUAUCAAUUUUAACAACUGUAUCCCAUUGAUAACCACCAAACCCGCGUGUGAGUUAGCCCAUCAUAGUCGUGUGUGUGAUACUUAAAAUUGACAACUAUAUAAUGUAGACGAAAAAUUGACAACUAGGCACACACCUAGACAAAAUUACUGAGUUGUCAUCCUGUCACCCUCAUCAGAUUUCUAUGAUGAUAUAAUUUGGUCAUGGUUGACUUGAAAUAAGCUACUAUGCAUCAUUCAUAUUUUUAUGACCAUUCUAUGCAAUCAGAUAAUGACCUUUUUGCCCAAAAUUGUCAUGAUAUUAUAGGGUUUGGACCCAUCGACACUCUUCAUGACCAAUUUGUGAAUUUUGGUCAUGGGUCAAUGACCAAUUAAACCCCCGUCACUAAUUUUGGUCAUAAUUGACCGUAUUUCUUGUAGUGUAUAUUUCAUAUUUUCCAGAAAUAUUCUCCGUAAAUUUUCAGGACGUUCCGAGAACUUUCAUUUCUGCACAAAACAACACCAUGGCAAUUCUGCUGAAAACAGCGUCAGUCCACGUUAGUUCCAUAAACAUCAUGCAAAUUAGAGUCCAAAACAAGGGCAAAAGAGUUUGGAAUAGUAGAUACGAUGGAGACGUAUCAAAUAGCACCACGACCACCACCACCACACCCCCGUGCUCGAGAACUCAUCUACCUCUCCGCCCCCUCUUGCUGGAUCAAGAAGGUGGAGAUUGUCAUCGAGCUGUACGUGUGCGGAACGCGGAGGUGCCGUCCGUUCGUCACUUGAACGGGACGGAUCAUGGGACGGAUCGUGAGACGGUUCGUGGGACGGAUCGUGGGAGGGUUCGUGGGACAGCUCCUGAAGACAUACCACUACAUCAAUCACGUUUAUUAACGCUUCCGCUUAGCGAUCUACAAGGGUAUGUGGAUCUGAUCUCCCUCUCGUAGAUGAUCAUCACCAUGAUAGGUCUUCGUGUGUGUAGUAAAUUUUUUGUUUCCCAUGCAACGUUCCCCAACAUUGGCAUCAUGAGAUAGGUUCAUGCGUAGAUGAUAUUUCGAGUAGAACACAAAAGAGUUUGUGGGCAUUGAUGUUUGAUUUGCUGGCCUCCUUAGUCUUUUCUCGAUUCGGCGGUAUUGUUGGAUUGAAGCGGCCCGGACCAACCUUACUCGUACGCUUACGAGAGACUGGUUUCAUCGACUAACAUGCAACUUGUUGCAUAAAGAUAACUGGCGGGUGUCUAUUUCUUCAACUUUAGUUGAAUCGGAUUUGACCGACGCGGUCUUGGAGAACGUUAAAUAGCAAUUUGCAUAUCACCGUUGUGGCUUUGCGUAAGUAAGAUGCGAUCAUACUAGAUACCCAUAGCAGCCACGUAAAACAUGCAACAACAAAUUAGAGGACGUCUAACUUGUUUUUGCAGGGUAUGCAUUUGAUUUGAUAUGGCCAAAGACAUGAUAUGAUAUAUUGGAUGUAUGAGAUGAUCAUGUUGUAAUAGUUAAAUAUCGACUUGCACGUCGAUGCUACGGCAACCGGCAGGAGCCAUAGGGUUGUCUUUAAACUAACGUUUGUGCUUGCAGAUGCGUUUACUAUAUUGCUAGGUAGUAGCUUUAGUAGUAAUAGCAUAGAUAACACGACAACCUCGAUGGCGGCACAAUGAUGGAGAUCAUGAUGAUGGAAACCAUGGUGCGGCACCGGUGACGAUGAAGAUCAUGUCGGUGCUUUGGUGAUGGAGAUCAAGCAGCACAAGAUCAUGGCCAUAUCAUGCCACUUAUGAUUUCCAUGUGAUGUUAAUCCUUUUAUGCACCUUAUUUUGCUUAGAACGACGGUAGCAUUAUAAGGUGAUCCCUCACUAAAAUUUCAAGAUAACAUUGUGUUCUCCCCGACUGUGCACCAUUGCGAUAGUUCGUCGUUUCGAGACACCACAUGAAGAUCGGGUGUGAUAGACUCAACAUUCACAUACAACGGGUGCAAAAUAGUUGCAGACGCGGAACACUCGGGUUAAACUUGACGAGCCUAGCAUGUACAGACAUGGCCUCGGAACACAAGAGACCGAAAGGUUGAGCAUGACUCAUAUAGUUGAUAUGAUCAACAUCGAGAUGUUCACGAGUGAAACUAUACUCAACUCACGUGAUGAUCGGACUUGAGUUAAUGGAUUUUGAUCAUGCGCUACUCAAAUGACUAGAGGGAUGUCUAUUUUGAGUGGGAGUUAUUAGUAAUAUGAUUAAGUAAACUCAAUUAUCAUGAACAUAGUCAAAAGGUCUUUACAAAUUAUGUUGUAGCUUGCAUUGUAGCUCUACUGUUUUUGAUAGUGAAAAAUUAGUUGAAAGUUGAUAGUAGCAAUUAUGUGGACCGGGUCCAUAAACUAAGGAUUGUCCUCAUGGCUGCACAGAAGGCUAAUGUCCUUAAUGCACCGCUCGGUGUGCUGAACCUCGAGCGUCGUCUGUGGAUGUUGCGAACAUCUGACAUACAUGUUUUUGAUGACUACGUGAUAGUUCAGCGCGUAAUGCUUAACAGCUUAGAAUUGAGGUGCCAAAGACGUUUUGAACAUCACGGAACAUAUGAGAUGUUACAAGAGAUAAAAUUAGAAUUUCAUGCUCGUUCCCUGGUUGAGAGGUAUGAGACCUUCGACAAGAUUAUUUGUCUACAAAGUAAGGGAGAAAAGCUCAAUCGUUGAGCAUGUGCUCAGAUUGUCUGAGUGCUACAAUCGCUUGAUUCGAGUGGGAGUUAAUCUUCCAGAUGACAUAGUGAUGGUUCUUCAAAGUCACUGCCACCAAGCUACUAGAGCUUCGUGAUGAACUAUAACAUAUCAAGGAUACAUAUGAUGAUCCUUGAGCUAUUCGCAAUGUUUGACACUAUAAAAGUAGAAAUCAAAUAGGAUCAUGAAUUGUUGAUGGUUAGUAAAACCACUAGUUUCAAGAAGGGCAAGGGAAAGCAGGGGUACUUCAUGAAACGGCAAACCAGUUGCUGCUCUAGUGAAGAAACCCAAGGUUGAACCCAAACCCGAGACUAAGUGCUUCUGUUAUGAGGGGAACGGUCACUGAGGAGGAACUACCCUAGAUACUUGGUAGAUGAGAACGCUCGCAAAGUCGACAAAAGUAUAUUAGAUAUACCUGAUAUUGAUGUGUACCUUACUGGUACUCCUAGUAGCACUAGGGUAUUAGAUACCGGUUCAGUUGCUAAGUGUUAGUAAAUCGAAAUUAUAGCUACGUAUUAAAUGGAUACUAGCAAGGGUGAGGUGACGAUGUGUUUUCGAAGUAAUUCUAAGGUUGAUGUGAUCAAACAUCGCACGCUCCCUCUACCGUCGAGAUUAGUGUUAAACCUAAAUAAUUGUUAGUUGGUGUUUGCAUUGAGCAUGAACAUGAUUAGAUCGUGUUCAUUGCAAUAUGAUUAUUCAUUUAAAGAGAAUAAUGGUUAUUCUAUUUGCUUGAAUAAAUACCUUCAAUGGUUUAUUGAAUCUCGAUCGUAGUGAUACACAUGUUCAUAAUAUUGAUGCCAAAAGAUAAAAAGUAGUAAUGAUAGUACCACUUACUUGUGGCACUGCCGCUUGAGUCAUGUUGGUAUAAAAUGCAUGAAGAACCUCCAUGUUGAUGGAUCUUUGUACUCACUCAUUUUUGAAACGUUUGAGACAUGCAAACCGUACCUAUUGUUAUAAACACAUGAAGAAAGUCCAUGCAGAUGGUUCAUUUGGACUCACUUAAUUUUGAAUCACUUGAGACAUGCAAAUCAUACCACAUGGGCAAGAUGACUGAAGGCCUCGUUUUCCAGUGAGAUGGAACUAGAAAGUAACUUAUUGGAAGUAAUACAUUUGGAUGUAUGCAGUCCAAUGAGUGCUGAGGCAUUCAAUGGAUAUCGUUAUGUUCUUAUUUCACAAAUGAUUUGAUUAGAUACUAGUGUAUUUGCUUGAUGAAACACACGUCUGAAUUAUUCAAAGGUUCAAGUAGUUUCAGAGUGAAGUUGAAGAUCGUCGUGACAAGAGGGUAACAUGUCUACGAUAUUAUCAUAGAGAUGAAUAUCUGAGUUGCGAGUUUGGUACACAAUUAAGACAAAUGUGAAAAUUGUUUCACAUCUCAUGCCACCUAGAACACCAUAGUGUGAUGGUGUGUCCGAACGUCAUAGCCGCACCCUAUUUGAUAUGGUGCAUACCGUGAUGUCUCUUAUCUAAUACCACUAUCGUUUAUGGGUUAUGCAUUAGAGACAACCGCAUUCACUUUAAAUAGGGCACCACGCCUUUCUGUUGAGAUGACACCGUAUGAACUACGGUUUGGAGAAACCUAAGGUGUCGUUUCUUAAAAGUUUGGGGUUGCGAUGCUUAUGUGGAAAAGUUUCAGCGUGAUAAGCUCGAACCCAAAGCAGAUAAAAGCAUCUUCAUAGGACACCCAAAACAGUUGAGUAUAUCUCCUAUCUCAAAUCCGUAAGCAAAGUGUUUGUUUCUAGAGACGGGUCCUUUCUCGAGGAAAAGUUUCUCUCGAAAGAAUUGAGUGGAAGGGUGGUGGAACUUGAUGAGGUUAUUGAACCGUCACUUCAACCAGUGUGUAGCAGGGCGCAUGAACUUGUUCCUGUGGUGCCUACACCAAUUAAAGUGGAAACUGAUGAUAGUGAUCAUUAAGCUUCGGAUCAAAUUACUACAAAUCUCAUAGGUCGACAAGGUCGCCUACUCCUAUAGAGUGGUACGGUAACCCUGUCUUGGAGGUGAUCUUGUUGAACAACAAUGAACCAACGAGCUAUGGAGAAGCGAUGGUGGGCCCGGAUUCCGACAAAUGGGUGGAGGCCAUGAAAUCCGAGAGAGGAUCCAAGUAUGAAAACGAAGUGUAGACAUUCGAAGAACUACUUGAUGGUCGUCAGACUAUUAAGUACAGAUGGAUCUUUAAAAGGAAGACAGACGAUGAUGAUGAAAUGUCACCAUGAAGAAAAGCUCGACUUGUGGCAAAGUGUUUCCGACAAGUUCAAAGAGUUGAUUAUGGUAAGACUUUCUCACUCGUAACGAUGCUAAAAGUCUGUUGGAAUUAUGUCAGCAGUUGAUGCAUUAUUUAUGAAAUAUUGCGCAUAGGAUGUCAAAAUAUUGUUUCCUCGACGAUUUCCUUGACGAAAGGUUGUAUGUGAUAUAACGAGAAGGUUUUGUCGAUCCUAAGGAUGCUAACUAGUAUGCAAGCUCCAGCGAUCCUUCUAUGGACUGGUGCAAGCAUCUCGGAGUUGGAAUAUACACUUUUAUGAGAUGAUCAAAGCAUUUGGGUUUAUACAAGAUUUAUGAGAAACUUGUAUUUCCAAAGAAGUGAGUGAGAGCACUAUAGAAUUUCUGAUAAGUAUAUGUGGUUGACAUAUUGUUGAUCGGAAGUAAUGUAGAAUUUCUGGAAAGCAUAAAGGGUUUUUUGAAAGGUGUUUUUCAAAGGAAAACCUAGAUAGAGCUACUUGAACAUUGAGCAUCAAGAUCUAUAGAGAUAGAUCAAAACGCUAAAUAGAACUUUCAAUGAAAUGCAUGCCUUGACAAGUUUUUGAAGGAGUUCAAAAUAGAUCGAUAGAGAAGGAGUUCUUGGUUGUGUUGUAAGGUAUGAAUUUGAGUAAGACUCAAAGCCCAACCAAGGUAGAAGAAAGUGAAAGGACGAAAGUCGUCCCCUAUGCCUUAGCCGUAGGCUCUAAAGUAUGCCAUGUUGUGUACCGCACCUGAUGUGUGCCUUGCCAUGAGUCUGUCAAGGGGUACAAAGAGUGAUCCAGGAUUGAAUCACUGAACAGCGGUCGAAGUUAUCCUUAUUAACUAGUGGACUAAUGAAAAUUUCUAGAUUAUGGAGGUGAUUAAAGAGUUCUUCAUAAAGGAUUACGUCGAUGCAAGCUUUGACACUAAUCCUAAUAACUAUGAGUAGUAAACCAGGUUCGUAUAGUGGAGAAGUCAUUUGGAAUAUUUCCAAAUGGUGCAUGGUAGAAGCAUCUAUAGGAUGACAUAGAAAUUUGUAAAGCACACACGGAUCUGAAUGGUUCAGAACCAUUGAAUAAAAACCUCUCUCACAAGCAAGAUAUGAUCAAACCCCAGAACUGUAUGGGUGUUAGGUUCAUUGCAAUCACAUAGUGAUGUGAACUAGAUUAUUGACUCUUGUGCAAGUGGGAGACUCUUGGAAAUAUGCCCUAGAGGCAAUAAUAAAUUGUUUAUUAUUAUAUUUCCUUGUUCAUAAUAAUCGUUUAUUAUCCAUGCUAGAAUUGUAUUGAUCGGAAACUCAAUUACAUGUGUGGAUACAUUGACAACACACUGUCCCUAGUGAGCCUCUAGUUGACUAGAUCGUUGAUCAAAGAUGGACAACGUUUCCGGGCCAUAGACAAGUGUUGUCACUUGAUAACGGGAUCACAUCAUUGGGAGAAUGAUGUGAUGGACAAGACCCAAACUAUAAACGUAGCAUAUGAUCGUGUUAGUUUAUUGCUACUGUUUUCUGCAUGUCAAUGUAUCUGUUCCUAUGACCAUGAGAUCAUGCAACUCCCGGACACCGUAGGAAUACCUUGUGGGUUAUCAAACGUCGCAACGUAACUUGGUGACUCUAAAGGUGCUCUAUAGGUAUCUCCAAAGGUGUCUGUUGGGUUGGCAUGGAUCAAGACUGGGAUUUGUCACCCCGUGUGACGGAGAGGUAUCUCGGGGCCCACUCUACAAUACGACAUCACAACAAGCCUUGAAAUAAAUGUGACUAAGGAGUUAGUUACGGGAUCUUGUAUUACGGAGCAAGUAAAGAGACUUGCCGGUAACGAGAUUUAACUAGGUAUGGACAUACUGACGAUCGAAUCUCGGGCAAGUAACAUAUGAAGGACAAAGGGAAUAGUAUACGGGAUUAUAUGAAUCCUUGACAUAGAGGUUCAAACCGAUAGAGAUAUUCGUAGAAUAUGUAGGAGCCAAUAUGGACAUCCAUGUCCCGCUGUUUGUUAUUGACCGGAGAGUGUCUCAAGUCAUGUCUGCAUAGUUCUCGAACCCGAAGGGUCUGCACACUUAAGGUUCGGUGACAUUUUGGUAUAGUCGAGUUAUAUGUGUUGGUGACCGAAGGUUGUUCGGAGUCCCGGAUGAGAUCUAGUACGCCACGAGGAGCUCCGGAAUAGUCAGGAGGUAAAGAUUGAUAUAUAUGAACUCCUGUUUUGGUCACCGGAAAAAUUUCGGGCUCAUCGGUAGUGUACCGAGAGUGUUGGGAGGGGUGCCGGGGACCAUUGGGAGGGGUGUCACGCCCCAAGGGGCCUUAUGGGUUGUGGGAAGAGACGAACAAGCCCCUAGUGGGCUGGAAUAAUUUCCCACUAAGGCCCAUAAUGUUUGAGAAGGAAAAAACACAAGGUGGAAUGAGUUUCCAAGUGGGAAGGAAGAAUCCUACUCCAAAUAGGAUUGGAGGACUCCUCCUCUCCUCCUUGCGCAAGGGAAAAAAAAGGAAGCCCAAGGGUGCAACCCUCUCCCUCCUCUCCUCCUAUAUAUACUAAGGGUUUUGAGGGUUUUUGUGAUAGCCCGAGACCGAUGCCCUAGGAGAUUCCCCUCUUUUCCAUUGCUCGCGUGUGUUUAUUUUAAUUGUCACAUCAUCAUCGCAUCAUUCACAUCAUCUGCAUUGCAUGGGCACUCCGUUGCCGCCAAAUUUCAAAACUUGCAUCCGUUAUUAGUUCCCGGUUCUCUCCGCGUUCGUCGUUUCCCGUGUUGAGCCCGACCACACACGCACACGCCCUCGACAUCGUCAAAACCUUGUUUUUAAAAGUGUGUAUAAAACUAUCUCUGAUUGGGUUGAAACUUGGCGUGCGGUCUUAAUAUAAUAUAGGUAGGCCGCCUGCCAAAUUUCGUCGCAAUCGGAGUUAGUCUGGUACCCGAACGGUCGACCAUAGCGGCACCAUCUUCGGUUAUUCGUCGGACGAUUUUCAGUAUUUUAAAUCGGUUGCGCGCCGCACUACUUCCCUCUUAUCUCUGCCUAAGCCACUCUACACAGCCACUUAGCCGUCCCCGCAUGCGAGACCGUUUUAUUUCGAUCGUGCGGUUAAAACCAGGGCGAAAAACUGCUAAACCUAGCCCCCCCAUUGUUAUAAAAUGGACCUCCCAUGGCAUUUUUAGACAGCAAAUCCCCUCUUUCCUUGAUUUGCGUGCCUAACCCUAGCCACCACCCUCCUCUCUCCUCCCUCCAGCCGCCAGGCCCGCUUCGGCCCGUAGCAGGCCCUCCCAACCCGAAUCACCGCCACCGCCCUCGCCCCGAUAUGCAACCCCGUGCGCCCCUGCCUCCUCGCCGGAGCCCCGCCGAACCGCCGCUUCGCCCCGCGCAGGACGCCGACGAGCACAGGCCCGCGCUGCCCUCUCUUCCUUCCUCUCUUCUUCGGGCUCCUCUCGCUCAUCUCCCUCUCUCAUUCUUCUCCCUGUGGCAGGAGAUAGCCAUGGGAGUUCGUGAGCUCCUCCUUCACUAGAUAGCUCGAGCCAGGAGAUGUCGUCAUCGGGAAUGGAUAGAUCAGGCUGAUCCCAUUCAGAUCUGCUUCUCCUUCGCCCCUCUCCCUGACCUGCACUCGAGCCCCAUGGCGUUGCCGCCAUUGCUGCUGGCAGGGAGGAGUGCCAGCUCCUGGAGCGGCUGCCGCUCGCCCCCGAGCGUCGAUCGGCCUCCCAACGUGCCUGGGCCGAGUGCCCCUGAGGCCCAGCUCGGCCUCCACCCCCGGGCGAGCGCCCCUGGCCCACUCGCCCCGCCGGCCCAAGCCAGUUCCUCCGCCUCAUCCUACCUCUCGUAGAAUUUUAACCGUGUGUCGUAUCGCGAUGAUUUAAAUAUGUAACUUGAUUAGUUUUUCACGUAGAUUAUAAUUUUACAACUUGCAUGCAUGUUCGAAGUAGUUUGAGUUGUCGUAUGCCUAAAUUUGCAUGCUAUACUAAUAGGGGGUAAUCCCAUAUUUAAUUUUGUGCGUGUCCGGUUUGCUCGUUUCUCAUAGGUACAAUGCUCAUGUUAUUAGGGACCUUUUGCCAUGUAUUUUGGAGUAGUUAGUUGCAUUUUGCAUGUAGGUUCCGUCGCUAGUUUGUUAUAUCAUAUUUAGGACAUAUUCGUGCAUAUACGUGUGGCAUUAUUUUUAUUUUGUAACCCCUCAUGUUAUAUAUGUUUUCGGGGUAAAAUAAUCCUUAGAAUUAAACUGUGCAUUUAGUCUUAGCUUUUGAGCAAGUUAAUGCGUGUAAUAUUUUUCCUGUUGUUUGCUAGUUGUGAACCUGCUAGAAAAUAGAGACAAUUUGGAGAUGCUGAAAUAUUUGGACAUCAACGACAACGACAUCAACAACAAUAACAAUGAAGAAAACAACGACAAUGAUGAGAGGAGCGAGAACAUCGACAACAACAACAACAAAAACAACGAAAACAAUGACAAAAGAGAUAGCAACAAUAACAACAACAACAACAACAAAGACGACGACAACGACGACAACAACAAGAACAAAAACAAAAAAAAAACUAGAACAAUAACAAGGAAGACAACGACGACGACGACAAAAAUGUUUAAGUGUUGUUUGCUUGUUGUCAACAUGCUAGAAAAUAGAGCUGAUUUGGAGAUGCUGAAAUAUUUCUAUGUCUGAAAUCUAUUAUAUUUUGUUGCUGUCUUGCCAUGAGUUUAUCUGGUGAUCUCUAGCUCUUUUGAGGUUGGUGCAAUGGAGUUAGUUGUAGUCCUUAAGAUUCUCUAGCAUGUUGUGAAUUUUCAUUUCUUUUGGAGCCCUAUAGCAUAUAGUUUUGCAGCUGUCAAUAUGCCUUCAGAUCGAAAAAUGCACUGUCAAAACUAAUAUUUUCAGUAAGUCUGAUACUGUGUGUGAGAUGCCAUUUUCUGAGUUAUUGUCCUAGUGAUCCAUGCUUCCAUUCUAGAUGUUAUUAGUAGUAUGUUGUAGUGCAUCUUGAUCUCUACCGCCUCAUGUCUNUUGUGGGUUGUAGAAAAUGCUAUGUGGCUGAUUUUGGGAGAUUAUGUCUAUUUCUUGUGUAGCUUGUAUUUGUUGAACCGUUGCUCCGUUUUGAUCGUGUCCUAUAUGAGACUUGCUUAGAAUCUUGUGUAUUUUCAUAUUUUGUUGCUGACUUGUUGGUUUGGAAUGCUUGUGACUCUCGUUGCACCCAUAUUGCAUUCAUGCCAUCAUAUCUUACGGUGAUCAUAUCUUUUAAACCGUAGCUCCGUUGGAGAUGUUCUCUAUGUGUAAAUUGAUUGAAACGACGCGUAGAAUCAUGUGAACCUAUUUAUUUUGCUGUUUAACAAAUAUUUUAACGUGUUAGUUCAGAUCUAGACAGAAUUAUAAAUUAAUGUAUGGGGUCAUCUCGGAGAUGCUAUAUGUCGUUUCCGACCUCAUUUAAAAUGCCUAGAUGGGUAGCUUAAUUACGCUUCACCUCUUGCCAUGUUUAACAACAUUUAAUAUCGUCGUGUACCUAAUAGAGAGUGAACCAAAUAAUCUGUAUGUGGAGUUUCGUCAAUAUGCAACUCGUUGCAUAUUGAACUUCACUUAAUAUGUAGUGUUUGAUUGGAGUGAAUUGCCAUGUCACGCCUUGCAUUAGACUGAUCAUGCAUCAUUUGUGCUGUGCAUGUGUCCUGGUGAAUGUUUGUGUUGAUGCUUGUUUUCGGUUUGCUUCGUCUCGAUAGAGUUCCGCACGCGUGUCGAAAAGUGAGGAUCCGUACGACUACAUCGGUUCGUCUGCUUCACGGAGUCGUUCUUCUUCCAAGUGGGAUCUCAGGAAAGAUGACCAUUUCCCAGAUACCAUUACUAUCAUUGCCAUGCUAGUUUUAUCGUUACUAUCGCUAUGUCUCGAUACCUACCACAUGAUAAAUAUCAGCCUCCCAACAUUGCCAUGAAAACCUUCAACCUGUUCACAACCUAUCAAACCACUGAUUGGCUAUGUUACCUCUUGCUGAACCAUGUGUUAGCGUUGCUAGUUGCAGGUGCAAUUACUUCCAUGUGAUAAUAGGGGUUCCUUGUUAUAUCACCUUAUUAAUUACUAUUUAAUUUAAUGCACCUAUAUACUUGGUAAAAGGUGGAAGGCUCGACCUUUCUAGCCUGGUGUUUUGUUCCACCUUUGCCCCUUAGUUUCGGCUAGCUGUGUUAUGUUCCAUAAUUGAGCGCCCUAACACGAUCGGGGUUGUUAUGGAGACCCCCUUGAUAAUUCGACUUAGAUUAAAACUAGUCUGGCAAGGACCAGCUUUGGUACUAUAUUUGCCUAAUAACUAAUGGACCGCAUAGAGAGUAAUUAACCCGAGGAAACUUAAUCAACCCCCGGGCCAGUGCUCCACAUGAGUGUUGGUCCAACCUGAGCGAUGUCCGUCGCCCCCUGGUCACCCAGGGUUUAGCAAACCUGACGUCUAUCUCAUCCGUCGUGUCCCGAGAACGAGAUACGCUGCUCCUAUCGGGAUCGUCGGCACGUCGGGUGGCCUUGCUAGAUUAGUUUUACCUUCAAUGAAAUAUCUUGUGUAUUGGGAUUCCGGUGAGACUUUGGGUAAUCUCAGAGUUGAGGUUUUCCACUAAGGAGUCCGACGAGAUCGCGAGUUUCGUGAUCGAGGAUUUCUAUGCGGCUUGUGGUAAUUUGUGAUGGACUAGUUGGAGCAACCCUGCGGGGUUAAAUCUUUCGGAAAGCCGUGCCCGCGGUUAUGUGGCAACCUAGAAACUUUGUUUAACUCUGGUUCUAGAUAACUUGAAGUUAACUUAAUUAAAACAUGCCAACUGAGUGUGUAACCGUGACUGUCUCUUUCGCGAGUUCCUUGUCCGAUCGAGAACACGGUGGGGUUAUGUCUGACGUAAGUAGGUGUUCAGGAUCAUUCAUUUGAUCAUUAGUAGUUCACGUCCGCUAUGCGUAGAUCACCCCCCUCUUUAUUCUUGUACUCGUAAGUUAGCCACCUCACAUAUGCUUAGUCGCUUGCUCCAGCCUCACCACUUAACCAUACCUCACCUAUUAAGCUUUGCUAGUCUUGAUACAUUUGGAAAUGAGAUUGCCGAGUCCCCUGUGGCUCACGGAUUACUACAACACCAGUUGCAGGUACAGGUUAAGGUUACUUGACGCGAGCACGUUGAUUGAUCAUUUGGAGUUUCUUCUUCUUCUUCAUCGAUCUAGGAUGGGUUCCAGGCCGGCAGCCUGGGAUAGCAAGGAUGGACGUCGUUCUUUUCUCGUUUGUUUUUGUCCGUAGUCGGACCCUACUCUUCUUCGUGAUGUUUAUGUAAUGUACCGAUGAUACUUUGAUGUAGCUUCUGGCGAGUGUAAGCGAAUUCCAUAUAUCUCAUAUUUUCAGUACAUGUACUUGUAACGAUAUCCAUUCUUGCGAAACGACGAGAUGCGCUUCUAUCCCUCACGAGGCCCUCGUGCCAAAUUAAGGAUAGGAUCGCAUCUAGGGUAUUACAAGUUGGUAUCAGAGCAGUACCGACCUAGGAGCCCCCUUGAUUGAUCGAACUUGGCCGAGUCGAGUCUAGUGAAAAACUGCUUUGAGUCUAGUUAUAUAUCGAGGAGUAGGUUUCUUUUUUCUCCUCUUCUAUGCUAUGGUGAGGUUCACGACUUAGGAAUUUUAAUUCCACUCCUCUUCUUACUCAAAAAAAAUUUAGGAUCACAUGGAUAUUUUUGGAAUCUAUAUGAUGUCGAUGUGACGGAGUUCUGUCUUGGUGCCUCUUGUCUGACUUGAUUUCUUCCGGGAGUUGAGCUCCACGGGAUUCUUGAGCACAUCGUUAUCAUUCAGAUUUCUUAGUAUCCCAGGAUGAAAGAUGUUCGAAAUUGCUUCAAUAAUAGUAGUGGCGAGAGGAGUCCGGCUUCCCCAGUACUGGUGCAGAGAGUUCGGGAUGUAUCGCCAUACUUUGUAUCAUUGUGAUUACGAGUGUCUGAGAUAGAUUAAGUUCCGAGAUUCUGGUUAUGUGUUGAUAGAUGUGAUACACUGGACGGGUUAGUAUAGGAGUUGAGUGAUAUAUUACUCCUUGUAACCGUGGACCAGAUUGCAUGAACAGAAAUUUCCGGAGUUCUUAGGUGGGAAUUCAAGUAGUUACUUAUAGGACAAUCUUCCAACAAAUGCAUGAUGUUAGGUUGGGGUUCGACAUCUAGUGGAUUCGUUUGUUCAUGGUCGACUUACAUCAAUUCUCAUUGGGUCUUAAAGAGUCCUUGUAGCUUGCUACGACUCGGGGGUGCUUCGUAUGUCGUGUGCAUUGCCUUGCACAGGAUGGCUACUGUAAGGAUCGAGCCCAUGCAAUCCUAUCCAUGAAAAUAUUGGAUGAAAUAUCUCUCAGGGAUUUGUUCUGGCUUGUUUCAUAAGCCUCAUCCUUUGUUUUGUUGGAGUAUAGUAAUUCAAGUUUAUUCAAUGUCAAAUGGUGAUUUCAUAUCUUUCCAGGAGUUGUUCUCAUAUUUCUAUGGGAAUGCUCAUUAAUUAUGUUGCUCAAAUCAACUUGUAUUUUCAAUUUAUUGUCAACUAGAGUCGUCAUGUUAAUUCCUUUCCAACCGGUGUGCUUCUCUUUGUUGGAAUUAUGCCCUGGAGGCAAUAAUAAAUGUAUAGUUAGCCUGGCCAUAAGUAUGGAAGGAAGGUUCCAGAGUAAUCCAGGAGUGGAUCACUGGACAGCGGUCAAGAAUAUCCUGAAGUACCUGAAAAGGACUAAGGAGAUGUUUCUCGUGUAUGGAGGUGACGAAGAGCUCGCCGUAAAAGGUUACGUCGAUGCAAGCUUUGACACAGAUCCGGACGACUCUAAGUCGCAAACCGGAUACGUAUUUAUUCUUAAUGGGGGUGCAGUAAGCUGGUGCAGUUCCAAGCAAAGCAUCGUAGCAGAUUCUACAUGUGAAGCGGAGUACAUGGCUGCCUCGGAGGCGGCUAAGGAGGGUGUCUGGAUGAAGCAGUUCAUGACGGAUCUUGGAGUGGUGCCAAGUGCACUGGAUCCAAUAACCUUGUUCUGUGACAACACUGGUGCCAUUGCCUUAGCAAAGGAACCAAGGUUUCACAAGAAGACAGACACAUCAAACGACGCUUCAACCUCAUCCGCGACUACGUCGAGGAGGAGGACGUAAAUAUAUGCAAAGUGCACACGGAUCUGAAUGUAGCAGACCCACUGACUAAACCUCUUCCACGGCCAAAACAUGAUCGACACCAGAACUGUAUGGGUGUUAGAUUUAUUACUAUGUAAUUCACAUGGUGAUGUGAGGGCUAGAUUAUUGACUCUAGUGCAAGUGGGAGACUGUUGGAAUUAUGCCCUAGAGGCAAUAAUAAAUGUAUAGUUAUUAUUAUAAUUCCUGUAUCAAGAUAAUAUUUUAUUAUCCAUGCUAUAAUUGUAUUGAAUGAAGACUCAUUUACAUGUGUGGAUACAUAGACAAAACACCGUCCCUAGCAUGCCUCUAGUUGGCUAGCCAGUUGAUCAAUGAUAGUCAGUGUCUUCUGAUUAUGAACAAGGUGUUGUUGCUUGAUAACUGGAUCACGUCAUUGGGAGAAUCACGUGAUGGACUAGACCCAAACUAAUAGACGUAGCAUGUUGAUCGUGUCAUUUUGUUGCUACUGUUUACUGCGUGUCAAGUAUUUAUUCCUAUGACCAUGAGAUCAUAUAACUCACUGACACCGGAGGAAUGCUUUGUGUGUAUCAAACGUCGCAACGUAACUGGGUGACUAUAAAGAUGCUCUACAGGUAUCUCCGAAGGUGUUAGUUGAGUUAGUGUGGAUCAAGACUGGGAUUUGUCACUCCGUGUGACGGAGAGGUAUCUCGGGGCCCACUCGGUAAUGCAACAUCACACACAAGCCUUGCAAGCAAUGUAACUUAGUGUAAGUUGCGGGAUCUUGUAUUAUGGAACGAGUAAAGAGACUUGCCGGUAAACAAGAUUGAAAUAGGUAUGCGGAUACUGACGACCGAAUCUCGAGCAAGUAACAUACCGAAGGACAAAGGGAAUGACAUACGGGAUUAUACGAAUCCUUGGCACUGAGGUUCAAACGAUAAGAUCUUCGUAGAAUAUGUAGGAUCCAAUAUGGGCAUCCAGGUCCCGCUAUUGGAUAUUGACCGAGGACUCUCUCGGGUCAUGUCUGCAUAGUUCUCGAACCCGUAGGGUCUGCACACUUAAGGUUCGACGUUGUUUUAUGCGUAUUUGAGUUAUAUGGUUGGUUGCCGAAUGUUGUUCGGAGUCCCGGAUGAGAUCACGGACGUCACGAGGGUUUCCGGAAUGGUCCGGAAACGAAGAUUGAUACAUAGGAUGACCUCAUUUGAUUACCGGAAAGUUUUCGGAGUUACCGGGAAUGUACCGGGAAUGACGAAUGGGUUCCGGGAGUUCACCGGGGGGGGGGGCAACCCACCCCGGGGAAGCCCAUAGGCUAUGAGGGUGGCGCACCAGCCCGUAGUGGGCUGGUGGGACAGCCCAAGACGGGCCUAUGCGCCAAGGAUAAGAAAUCAAAGGAAAAGGAAAAAAAAGAGGGAAGAGGUGGGAAGGGAGGGGGACUCCCUCCCACCAAACCUAGUCCAACUCGGUUUGGGGGGGAGAGUCCUCCCCCUUGGCUCGGCCGACUCCUUGAGGGUCCUUGGACCCCAAGGCAAGGCCCCCUCCCUCCCACCUAUAUAUACGGAGGUUUUAGGGCUGAUUUGAGACGACUUUCUCAUGGCUGCCCGACCACAUACCUCCACGGUUUUUCCUCUAGAUCGCGUUUCUGCGGAGCUCGGGCGGAGCCCUGCUGAGACAAGGUCAUCACCAACCUCCGGAGCGUCGUCACGCUGCCGGAGAACUCUUCUACCUCUCCGUCUCUCUUGCUGGAUCAAGAAGGCCGAGAUCAUCGUCGAGCUGUACGUGUGCUGAACGCGGAGGUGUCGUCCGUUCGGUACUAGAUCGUGGGACUGAUCGCGGGAUUGUUCGCGGGGCGGAUCGAGGGACGUGAGGACGUUCCACUACAUCAACCGUGUUCUCUAACGCUUCUGCUGUACGAUCUACAAGGGUACGUAGAUCACUCAUCCCCUCCCGUAGAUGGACAUCACCAUGAUAGGUCUUCGUGCGCGUAGGAAAAUUUUUGUUUCCCAUGCGACGUUCCCCAACACUCUUGAGUGAAUUCUAUCCUCCCCAAUAGGUGCAAGAUCAAUCUCUCAUUUCUUUCCGGAGUCCAUCUCAUCUGUCCCAAGUGGUCUUUGUUUUCCCCGCCCUCCCGCCCUUUUCUUCAGUGAUUAGAUUAUCAUCCUAGUGCCUUCCUUUCAGUGUCGCUUCCGCUAUCUUUUCUUCCGUGUCCUAUCCGGUGAUUCAUUGUGAAGAUUCUCAGGAGCUUCGUGUUCAUCUUAUUCAAUUUUGUUAUGUUUUUCGGUGAAAUCAGUUCAAGCUAUCCGUGUUCAUCAUAUCCUUUUCGUCCUUGUAAUUCUUUCCCAUGUUGGAAAUUCUUGUUUAGCCCCUCUUGUUAUUCUUCCAUCUCUGUUCUAGCCGGAAUGUUGAAGAUGUCUCAGAAGUUUCUUGUUUUCAAUUUUUUCAAUUCUUUCGAGGGCCUCACCUCAUCUAGUUUUCAUUUGUACCGGUGCAAUAUCUCUCUUUAUGAGCAACCUUUUCAACGGUGGUUUCUUGAGUGGGCCCAUAACCCACAGGCUUUUCCCAGGAUCUUAUCUGGCUCUUGUAAUAUUUUCCGGAGAUCUCUAAUUCUUUUCAAACAUGACGUAAGAAUGAUUUCCAUCAGUCAUAUCCCUUCUCUGAGAUCUACUCGAAUUAAUUCUCAUAUUUGUCUCAACCUUUCAUUCUUCAUUAUUCCGAAGUGUCUUGGUAGUUCUUGGUGGUGUUCUUCUCAUCAUUAUCUCCAUUGAAGAUUGAAGGAGUGUUUCUGUCAAAUCUUGGUCCAUUCUCUUGGAGAUUCAUCAUUUCAGCUUUGUGGCAUCAUCUUGAUUUGUUCCAAUCAUGUGUAAUUCCUUUCUUGCUAUUCGGUGCUUUUUCGUGUUGUUUUCAUUCUUGAUCCUCCGAAGGCCAUCAUUUUAGAAGAUUCUUCAUUCUCAGCUUUCAGCUUUCAUACUCAAUUCUUCUCAAUUGUUGUCUCUUCGUUCGUCUCUCAAUUAUUCCGGUGCCUCAUUCAAGUUUUUUUAGGUGGCUCGUGAUCUUUUCGUAUCUCCAUUCAUUCUGGUUAUAUCCCCAUUCAAUCCAAUUCUUAUAGGUGUCUCCUCAAGACUUCUUCAAGUUUGUGCUCAUAUAUCUCCUCAAUCAUUUCUAUAAGAAUAAUUGGUAUGCUAAAUCCGUUGCUUGUCAUCAAUUAAACUUGAUGAAGGAUAAGCAUAAGAUAAUUCUUAUUUUUGUUCAUAGUGAUCUGAAUUCUUCUUCCGGAGUGGCUCAUGAUAUCAAUUCUUUAUCUCAAGGUGUUCUUCAAGAUUCUUGUGGUAGUAGUUUUCAUUUUCUUCUUCGUUCCUUCUUUCCAAGAUCUAAUUUCUAUUCUUUCUAAUGGAGGCUUCGUGAUGUUGCUCUCUUCAAUCUAUCAUUUUGGUCUUUUCAAGAUCAUGUUAUUCCCUUGGUCAAUUUAGUUAGUUUGUUGUGAAUCUUCUCAAGUUCUUUCUAUCUUAUCGAAUUUUUGUCCCCUUGUCCUGCCGAAGUGCUGCCGAUAUUUUUUGUGAAUUCUUGCUUGUUUCUCAUGUCAUUCUUCAUCUCUUUGCAACCUUCAAGGAUCGCUGGUUUCACUCGUUUGUCAAAGAAGAAACUGAGUUUUACAUCUUGCUUUCUCAUCCUCUUCCCCUUUCAUUCUUGGAUCUCGGAUCGAGAUCCUCUUGUAGUGUAGGAGAGUUGUGACAGCCCGAGACCGACGCCCCAGAAGAUUCCCCUCUUUUCCAUUGCUGGCGUGUGUUUAUUUUAAUUAUUGCAUCAUCAUCGCAUCAUUCACAUCAUAUGCAUUGCAUCAGCAAUCUGUUGCCGCCAGUUUUCAAAACUUGCAUCCGUUAUUAGUUGCCGGUUCUCUCCUCGUUCGUCGUUGCCCGUGUUGAGCCCGACCACACACGCACGCGCCCGCAGCAUCGUCAAAACCUUGGUUUUAAAAGUGUGUAUAAAAAUUCCUCUGAUUGGGUUUAAACUUAGCGUGCGGUCUUAAUAUAAUAUAGGUAGGCUGCCUGCAAAAUUUCGUCGCAAUUGGAGUCCGUCUAGUACCCGAACGGUCGACCGUAGCGGCACCGUCUUCGGUUAUUCGUCGGAUGAUUUUCGGUAUUUUAAAUCGGUUGCCGCACCUCACUACUUCCCUAUUAUCUCUGCCUAAGCCACUCUACACAGCCAGUAGCCGUCCUCGUGUGCGAUACCGUUCAAUUCCGAUCGCGCGGUUGAAACCGGGGCGAAAAACUGCUAAACCUAGCGCCCCCAUUGUUAUAAAAUGGACCUCGCAUGCCAUUUUUAGACAGCAAACCCCCUCUUUCCUCGAUUUUCGUGCCUAACCCUAGCAUCCACCCUCCUCUCUCCUCCCUCCAGCCGCCAGGCCCGCUUCAGUCCGCAACAGGCCCUCCCGGCCCGAAUCGCCGCCGCCGCCCUCAUCCCGAUCUGCAGCCCCGUGCGCCCCUGCCUACUCACCGGAGCCCCGCCGAACCGCCGCGUCGCCCCGCCCAGGACACCGAUGAGGACAGGCCCGCGCUGCCCUCUCUUCCUUCCUCUUUUCUUCAGGCUCCUCUCGCUCAUCUCCCUCUCUCGUUCUUCUCCCUCUGGCAGGAGAUAGCCAUGGGAGUUCGUAAGCUCCUCCUUCGCUGGAUAGCUCGAGCCAGGAGAUGUCGUCAUCAGGAAUGGAUAGAUCAAGCAGAUCCUGUUCAGAUCUGCUCCUCCUUCGCCCCUCUCCCUGACCUGCACUGGAGCACCAUGGCGUUGCCGCCAUUGCUGCUUGCAGGGAGGAGUGCGAGCUCCUGGAGCGGCUGCCGCUCGCCCCCAACCGUCGACCGGCCUCCCAGCGCGGCGGGCCGAGUGCCCCUGAGGCCCAGCUCGGCCUCCACCCCCGCGCCAGCGCCCGUGGCCCACUCGACCCGCCGGCCCAAGCCAGUUCCUCCGCCUCGGCCUGCCUCUCCUCCGACCGGGCCUUUUCCCAUCAGGUGAGCGCCCGAAGCCCUUUGUCAAGCGCCCCAGCGUAUUUUAGUUAAAUGUCGCAUGCCCCUAUUAGGCCUGUGUAGCAUCACAUUUCGGCCCAUUUAGUUUUAUUUCGGUCCGUCCGAAUUAUUAAUUUUAGGAAAAUAGGCAUAUUUCAAACGCUCGUAGAAUUUUAACCGUGUGUCGGAUCGCGAUGAUUUAAAUAUGUAACUUGAUUAGUUUUUCGCGUAGAUUGUAAUUUUAUAAUUUGCAUGCAUGUUCGAAGUAGUUUGACUUGCCGUAUGCCUACAUUUGCGUGCUAUCCUAAUAGGGCAUCAUCCCGUAUUUAAUUUUGUGCGUGACCGGUUUGCUCGUUUCUCAUAGGUAAAAUGCUCAUGUUAUUAGGGACCUUUUGCCAAGUAUUUUAGAGUAGUUGGUUGCAUUUUGCAUGUAGGUUCCGUUGCUAGUUUGUUAUAUCAUGUUUAGGACAUAUUCGCGCAUAUACGUGUGGCGUUAUUUUUAUUUUGCAACCCCUCAUGUUAUAUAUGUUUUUGGGAUAAAUAAUCCAUCGAAUUUAAGUAUGCAUUUAUUUUUAGCUUUUGAGCAAGUUAGUGCACGUGAUACUUUGCCAUGAUGCCCUUUUGUUUAUUUUGUGGGAUUUAUUCCGUGCAUGAUAUGAAUGAGUUGUCAACUAGAGAUAUACCAUUGGAUGUGUAGGCUAGCCUCUGGUAAUUUUGGUUGCAAUAGAAAUCCAUGUUUAGGUGUUGUUUGCUUGUUGUCAACAUGCUAGAAAAUAGAGCUGAUUUGGAGAUGCUGAAAUAUUUUAAGUCUGAAAUCUGUUAUAUUUUGUUGUUGUCUUGCCAUGAGUUUAUGUGGUGAUCUGUAGCUCUUUUGAGGUUGGUGCAAUGGAGUUAGUUGUAGUCCUUAAGAUUCUCUAGCAUGUUGUGAAUUUUCAUGUAAUUUGGAGACCUGUAGCAUAUAGUUUUGCUGCUGUCAACAUGCCUUCAGAUCGAUAACUGCACGGUCAAAACUGAUAUUUUCAAUAAGUCUGAAACUCUGUGUGAGAUGCCAUUUUGUGAGUUCUUUUCCUAGUAAUCCAUGCUUCUAUGCUAGAAGUUAUUAGUAGUAUGUUGUAUUGCAUCUUGACCUCUACCGCCUCAUGUCUNNNNNNNNNNNNNNNNNNNNNNNNNNNUUGUGGGUUGUAGAAAAUACUAUGUGGCGGAUUUUGACAGAUUAUGUAUAUUUCUUGUGUAGCUUGUGUUUGUUGAACCGUUGCUCCGUUUUGAUCGUGUCCUAUAUGAUACUUGCUUAGAAUAUUGUGUAGUUUCAUAUUUUGUUGCUGCCUUCUUGGUUUGGAAUGCUUGUGACUGUCGUUGCACCCAUAUUGCAUUCAUGCCAUCAUAUCUUGCGGUGAUCAUAUCUUUUGAACUGUAGCUCUGUUGGAGAUGUUCUCUAUGUGUAAAUUGAUUGAAACGACACGUAGAAUCAUCUGAACCUAUUUAUUUUGCUAUUUCACAAAUAUUUUAACGUGUUAGUUCAGAUCUGGACAGAAUUAUAAAUUAACGUAUGGGGUCAUCUCUGAGAUGCUAUAUGUCGUUUCCGACCUCAUUUAAAAUGCCUAUAUGGGUAGCUUAAUUACGCUUCACCUCUUUCCAUGUUUAACAACAUUUAAUAUUGCCGUGUACCUAAUCGAGAGUGAACUAAUAAUCCGUAUGUGGAGUUUCGUCAAUAUGCAACUCGUUGCAUAUUGAACUUCACUUAAUAUGUAGUGUUUGAUUGGAAUGAAUUGCCAUGUCAUGCAGUGCAUUAGACCGCUCAUGCAUCAUUUGUGUUGUGCAUGUGCCGUGGUGAAUAUCUGUGUUGAUGCUUGUUUCUGGUUUGCUUCGUGUCGAUAGAGUUCCGCACGCGUGUCGAAAAGUGUGGAUCCGCACGACUACAUCGGUUCGUCUGCUUCAUGGAGUCGUUCUUCUUCCAAGCGGGAUCUCAGGCAAGAUGACCAUUUCCCCAAAUACCACUACUACCAUUGCCAUGCUAGUGUUAUCGUUUCUAUCGCUAUGUCUCGAUGCCUACCACAUGAUAAAUAUCAGCCUCCCAACAUUGCCAUCAAAACCUUCAGCCUAUUCACAACCUAGCAAACCACUGAUUGGCUAUGUUACCGCUUGAUGAACCAUGUGUUAGAGUUGCUAGUUGCAGGUGCAAUUGCCUCCAUGUGGUAACAUGGGUUCCUUGUUAUAUCACCUUAUCAAUUGCUAGUUAAUUUAAUGCACCUAUAUACUUGGUAAAAGUUGGAAGGCUCGGCCUUUCUAGCCUGGUGUUUUAUCCCACCUUUGCCCCCUUAGUUUCGGCUACCGGUGUUAUGUUCCAUAGUCGAGCGCUCCUAACACGAUUAAAACUCGUCUUAGAUUAUGGGGACCCCCUUGAUAAUUCGUCUUAGAUUAAAACACGUCUGGCAAGGCCCAACUUUGGUACUGCAUUUGCCUAAUAACUAAUGAACCACAUAGGGAGUAAUUAACCCGAGGAAACUUAAUCAACCCUCGGGCCAGUACUCCGCAUGAGUGUUGGUCCAUCCUAAGCGAUGUACGGCGCCCCCUGGUCACCUAGGGUUUAGCCAACCCGACGUCUAGCUCAUCCGUCGUGUCCUGAGAACGAGAUAUGCGGCUCCUAUCGGGAUUAUCGACACAUCGGGCGGCCUUGCUAGAUUAGUUUUACCUUUGCCGAAAUAUCUUGUGCAUCGGGAUUCUGGUGAGACUUUGGUAAUCUCAGAGUUGAGGUUUUCCACUAAGGAGUCCGACGAGAUCGUGAGUUUCGUGAUCGAGGAUUUCUAUGCGGCUUGUGGUAAUUUGUGAUGGACUAGUUGGAGCACCCCUGCAGGGUUAAAUCUUUCGGAAAGUCAUGCCCGCGGUUACGUGGCAACCUGGAAACUUUAUUUAACACUCGUUCUAGAUAACUUGAAGUUAACUUAAUUAAAACAUGCCAACUGAGUGUGUAACCGUGAAUGUAUCUUUCGCGAGUUCCUUCUCCGAUCGAGGACACGGUGGGGUUAUGUCUGACGUAAGUAGGUGUUCAGGAUCAUUCAUUUGAUCAUCAGUAGUUCACGUUUGCUAUGCGUAGAGCACCCCCCUAUUUAUUCUUGGACUCGUAAGUUAGCCACCUCACAUAUGCUUAGUCGCUUGCUGCAGCCUCACCACUUAAACAUACCUCACCUAUUAAGCUUUGCUAGUCUUGAUACAUUUGGAAAUGAGAUUGCUGAGUCCCCUGUGGCUCACAGAUUACUACAACACCAGUUGCAGGUACAUGUAAAGGUUACUUGACGCGAGCGCGUUGAUUGUUCAUUUGGAGUUUCUUCUUCUUCUUCGUCGAUCUAGGAUGGGUUCCAGUCCGGCAGCCUGGGAUAACAAGGAUGGACGUCGUUCUUUUCUCGUUUGUUUUCGUCUGUAGUUGGACCCUGCUCUUCUUCGUGAUAUUUAUGUAAUGUACUGAUGAUACUCUGAUGUAGCUUGUGGAGAGUGUAAGCCAAUUCCAUAUAUCUCAUCUUUUCAGUACAUGUAGUUGUAACGAUAUCCAUUCUUGCAAAACGACGAGAUGCGCUUCUAUCCCUGACGAGGCCCUUGUGCCAAAUUAAGGAUAGGAUCGCAUCUAGGGCGUUACAGUUUUAGACACAAGAUAAAAUAGCCUCGUGCUGCCCUCUCUCCAGAUCUGUUUCUCCUCUAGUUUCAGCGGUGCUUAGGCGAAGCCCUGUUGGAAUAGCACCACCACCACCACCACCACCACGCCGCCGUGCACGAGAACUCAUCUACCUCUCCGCCCCCUCUUGCUGGAUCAAGAAGGUGGAGAUCGUCAUCGAGCUGUACGUGUGCGGAACGCGGAGGUGUCGUCCAUUCGGCGCUUGAUGUGGACGAAUCAUGGGACGGAUCGUGAGACGGUUCAUGGGACGGAUCGUGGGACGGUUCGUGGGACGGAUCAUGAAGACGUACUACUACAUCAACUGCGUUUAUUAACGCUUCCGCUUAGCGAUCUACAAGGGUAUGUGGAUCCAAUCUCCCUCUCGUAGAUGAUCAUCACCAUGAUAGGUCUUCCUGUGCGUAGGAAUUUUUUUCCCAUGCAACGUUCUCCAACAGUAUCAGUGAUGCACAAGAACCUCACAAGUGUCCCGAGUUAGGCGACAAACGACCUAGCACCUGGCCUUGUCUUGGGCCCGUGGAGGGGCUCCACUGUGCAGAUCAGGCAGGCUUGCAUCUUGCCGGGGCUCGACCGAGUCGUUGCACAUGGGAGGUGGCGGCGGAGCUCCAUGGGCCACGUCUCCCGCACAAGACGGAGGGGGGGGGGGCGAAGCAAGCUGUCCCACCCUGUUUUUACUACUACAUUCUUUGUAAUGCAAAAAUAUGAACUUGUUGAAUUUUUUUCAAAACUAAUGAUGUGAGUGCCAUGAUUGUUGUUGUAUGCUUGUGUGUGUGAUCAUGUGAUGGCAAAAACCCCAUUUCACAAUAUUGAAUUGUUUCUAGAAACCUUUACUUGAUUCUGAUCAAGUUAAAACCCUACUUUGAGUUGCACUACUUGUCCUUGAUGGCAAGGUUGGUUUCUACCCAAAGUUGAUGAUCUGAUUUUUAACUUAAUAGUACAAAUGCACGUGCACUGGACAAGAAAAAAAGUACCCAACCUGCUUGUUGUGCCAUUAUGCGACAUUAAUUGUAAUAAAUGUGUAUAAUAAUGUUAAUUGUUUUCUUUUAAAACAUUAGGUACUACUUACAUAAAAAUUGUAUGAUAUUUUCAAUAAUAUAUAUUUUUUAUUAAAUUUUAAAUUUCUUGUAAAAGAUAAUUUUUUAAACAUUUUGUUCAAAAUGAUCCUUUUAUUGUCUGGUAAUAAUCUUUUGUUUUCUGUUGGGAAAUGGCAUUUGUGUGUAAUACAUAUUUUUCAUAAAUAUUUUUUUGAUAAAUAUUUUUUUAUUGUUUUUUGCACAACUUGCUUCAUGUGUCAUUGUGCAUCAUUUUUUAUAUGGAUUUUAAUAAUUUUCGACGAUAACGUUAAAUGAUAAAUUGUUUUACAAAAUUUAUGUAUGCAUAAUAUUUUUAAUACUUUUUAAGAAGUAUUAUUUUUAUGAAUUUUCAGAUUUGGUUUGACAAGGAACCUUUUUUUAAUAAUUUUAUUUCUUUAACAUUUUAUGAAUUUUGGGAAGCCCGUGAUGUAGGACCAGAUUGCUUUACCCUCUUUAAUAUUAAGAGUCCUUUUAGUAAAAUAUGAGGGUUGUGUUGUUAAAAAAUAGUACCUAGUUCACUACGGGCAUAUUCUAAUGCAACUUCUGGGCCAUUGUCAUGUAUGGGAUCGAUAGAAAGAGUAGGAUGAACCAUAAAAAUGAUGUGGUAGCAUAUCAUUUGAAAUUAAAUCUUACAAUAACCUGUGCACUUCAACCAUAACAUUUCUUUUAUGUAAUACAUACGACAUCUAAUUCAUGUAUAAAAAUUACAUCUUACAUUGUUUACGUUGGUAUCAUCGAGUGUUACCUGUGGCAUAUCCGAGAACAGAACUUCCUCGGCCCCCACCUGAGUUCUAUCAGACUCCUUUGACAGCUGCACACGCACACACAAGAGAGACAUUAAAACCAAUUAUCCUACACUUCAAAAUAAACUGGUACUACACAGUCACACUGGCAACCUGUUAUUCAAGAUGACACCUUUAAACACUUGGGUGACAAUAGGAAUUAGGAAAUGAUUGAUACAAUAACAUGGUCCAGCACUACAAUUAGAAUUUCAUUCAUUGACUGACCAUGAUGAAGUCGACACACGUCAUGUGUUCAGUGAUGCAUACAAUUUUGCUCUGGCUAUAUUACUGUAUCAAUGCUAUUCACCAAAACAUAGUCAUUAAAUGGUCAUGCUUUUUCUUUAGAAACUUUGUGUCGCACUUACAGGUCCACGGUCAUUCAAAGUAAGUGCAGUUUCAUGUUUGCAUUUCCUUCUAAAAACUAGAAGAGAGCAUCACCUAAUAAUACUUGAACCAAACAUGAAUGACAAGUUUGUCAAGUGGAUUAAAUUUUAAGGGGCAAAUAAUUUCAGAUUUAGCGAGCAAACAAAUAACAAAUCAACGAACUAUCAAUUUUGUGACUAAAUAAUCGAAGGAGAUUUCAUAAUCCUAAUAGUAGUCUGCCAAUAGCCAGCAGCCUACUACGCCUGAAACCACUCACUUCCUCCCUGUAAAGCUCUACACACAUGAACACAUAGGCAGAUCGAGUGGCACACACCCAUGCUUCCUCCCUGUAAUAGAUGGGAAUACAAAAGCGGGAGCUUUAUGGUGGCCAUGAUUGCUGUUAUGAAUCUAGUUUGUAGGCUACAAAAACAAUGCCUUGCCCAAGUUGUUGAGCACCGGAUGCCAACAAAUCUUGGCCUACCUGCAGCCAAACUUGGACGCCAAAUUUACUAAUACUGCCUGACCCACAAGCUGCUUUCCAAUCAGGGAAUUGUAAAUAUGCAUGUGUUGCGGCCCUCGCGUAUUGCGUUGUGUACUCUAUUUGUGUAAUAAUCAGUUAUAGUGACAAAAGCAGAAUCAGAAGCAAGGAGCACAACAAAGACACCAAACAUUCACAGAGCUAUCAUACUUCAGGCCCUUCUAAUUCAGAGAUGAACUUCUAAAACAAAAAUCAAACAUGAGUGGGAUACAUACCUCUGACAAAGUUGGAGGCAUUGGAGUACUGGAUGGAUGAUCUUCUAUCUCCGGCCAAGUCUGCACUUCUUUCUCCGGUGAAAUCGGCGGAUUCAUUAGUUUCACUGACUAACUCGGCGGCCACAUUAGUUAAAUCGACAAUUGUGCUGAUGAAGAUUUCGGCCGAGGUGGUCUACUUCUUAUAGCAGCUAACAAAAGAUGAAAACUUGUUCUGUGUUGGUCGUAUUGUAAGCAAUGUGUGCAGAGGAAGUGUCCAUGUCAUUCAAGCCAAGCUCCUCAUUCUGCUCCCAACUCCUCUCAUAUUCUUCAACUGCCAUUCAUAGUGAUAAAUAGAUCGAAUAAGCCAUAAUUGCAGUUAGUUAUGUGCAUUGUUUACUAAUAUAAGAGCGUUUAGAUCACUACUUAAGUGAUCUAAAUGCUCUUAUUUUAGUUUAUAGAGGGAGUAAUUAGUAUGACUCCAUAGAACUACAAUAACAAGCUUCAUGGUUUAUUGAAAAACUUCAACAGAUCAUUCAUACUUAUUAAAAUGGCAAUGCAUGAAUGUCCCUUCAUUGGUUUGAAUAAUACAUGACGCUACGUACAGUUCAUUGAUUAGGCUAACUUACAUGAUGCUGCGUACAAUUCAUUGAUUAGGCUAACUUACUGAGUAGAUGAAUGUCAUCUUCUAUCAAAUCUGUGGCUGCAGCGACAAACGAAGCCGCUAACGCAUCACCAAUAAUUAAGGUCCAAGGCUCUUGUAAACUCAGGAGCUGAAAUUAUACAUUGUGUAAAUGUUAUUGAAAUAGGUAUAUCAUAUUAAUUCACAAUUAAUUAGCCCAAUCACGCCCGUCCACUGAAAAUAAUCAGCAAUUUUCUAACCAGACCUCCCACCAAGUUUAGCAUGGACCGAGGUUAGGACAAAACAAAACAAGCAGGAAGUACCCAAUACAUCAUGAACAAGGAAGUUACCAUUUUUUACUUCAUGCUAUAAAGAAAGAAACUCAAGACACUCAAGAACUGAGAUGCUAUGGAAGGAAAAGCAUAGCCAUAAUCUUCUCCAGAUUGGAGGUGAAGCAGUCCGUGCUAAAAUAGAUAGAACAUUCCAGCUAAAAUAAACUGGUACCUUUGAUAAUCUUUGCUGGAAAUCAUCCCAUUUCUUUUUCUUCCAUUCAUUUAUGCUAUCACCCAAUUGGAAUCCAUGAACCCGCUCCAGAGCUCAACCCCAAAAUAGAACUUAGCAUUUGAGUUUGAGAAGAAUAACAAUUAAAUCUAUUCAGGUGUAUUUCAUAUCGAUACAAGUUGCAUAAGCUAUGUUGAACAAACAAGUUUCCACGUCGUUGAAAAAAGUACUUCCUGUACAGAACAGUUAGAUGCAUAAGCAUAACAGCUGGAACUGAGAUACAUGAGCAACACAUGUUUCAAUGAUAAUAGUGUAGAACUGUUGACAAAACCUCAAGAGGGUAUACACAUAUUAUGAGAGAAAUAUCGACCAGAGUGGUUUCAAGACACUUCCAUCUCAUAACAUUAAGAAAGAAAGAAAGGGCAUUGUAUCCAAUGUUUCCAAUUCCUCCAAGGCGCUCCUGCGGACGCCCCUAUGAGGCAACCCGUCGUCGCUGAAGGUGAAGCUCGCAUCCGGCGUCCCCUCGUACUUCCCUGCAUGCCGAAGCCACAACAGAGGAAUAAAUAAUUUCUUUAGCAAACAUGGCCCCAGAAACCAAAAUUCAGAACCCGCACAAGACGAAUCGAGACAUGUGGAGACGGCGCCCUUCUUGAGGUCCACGACGAAGAUCUCGUCAACACCCAUCUUCUGUAAUCAGAUCGAAGCCCCGAGGGCACAAAGCUUCAUGCAGAUUCCAUGGGGGAAAAAGAGAGAGGGGGGAUGCCAUACGUACCUUGGGCGAGAUGUUCAGAUGGUAGACGAAGCCGACCUUGUUGGCGAUCUCCUUCCCGGCGUCGGUGGCGAGGUGGCAUGGCGCCCUGUGGGACGAAGGACGCAUCCCCUGAAGCCAGUCGUCGCUGCCCCUCCGGAUCUCCUCCACCCGUGGCUCCGGUGACCGUCCGUUGCCAUGUUAGGGCCUCAUCCGGCUGCCUCCCCCGUGGUCAAUCUCCAUCGCCUCCUCUCAGCUCCUCCGUUUUUUCGCUGAAGCCACUCGUCGCCCCGUCGCGGCUAGAAAGAGGAUAAGAUCAAGCGAAGGAUCAUGACUGAAAAUUUUACAGAUGCAAGGGCUUUCUUGCAAAUCUGAAACGUUUUUCCACAUAUCCACUUAAUCAUGGACUCCGGGUUGAAUGCUCACAAACGGAGGGACUUUUUCGCAAAAAAGCCAUGACGGAUGACCAGAAACAGUAUUUGCUUUAUUAUUAGGGAGAGAUUGUAGUAAUUCAAAACCACAAAAUAAUUGUUUUUAAAACUGUUUUCCUUAUUUAAUUGCAUGUCUAUUUCUGAGGCUAGAAAUAGUAUUCCUUCAUGGAAAAAUAUAUUUCUGCCUUAGGAAAAUCUAAUUAAAUUUGGUGAUGAACAGAAGGACAUAUAUUUUCCAAACAUAAGAUUUUAACCCUAUUUUAUAAUAUAAUUAUUGUAAUAAAACCCUGGAAACCAUUUCUGUCUAUUUUGACCUUUUGAAUUAUUUCCAAAGGAAAUAUUCUCAAUAAAAUCCUAGAAAAUUCAAGUGGUAUCCCUAAGCCAUAUUUGUUGUCCAUAUAAAGUUUCACCUUGAUCCAAGGUGAUUAAGGACCAAAUAACCCUAAAACCCCUUUUGUCCAGAUUGAAGUUAGAGCAACUCUACAUAACAAAGUUGUCCAAUGAUGCUGAAACCUUGCACGGGUGCCUAAAACCUCAAAUGAGGGUUCCACACCAAAAUUGGGAUUUGUGGGACUUAGUUUGCCCACACUCUCUUUGGAAGGGACAUAUCUGGUCAUAUAUAUAGGUUUUUUCAAGUUUACAAAGUUAAACUUGUCCCAUGGAGCUCAAACUUGGUGAAACCCCAUGUUUUAGCACCAAACCCAAACCUAUUAAAUUGCAGCACCAGUGGUGGGGUGCAACCCCCUCAAACCACUGUCGAGCACCUUCUGACAGAUGGGAAAAAAGCCCUCUUAGCCAAAGCUAAACCCAACCCCUUUGCUCCAAACUCAUAGACUAGUUGGCCAGUAUCAAUACCCAACCCCACUCAACUGGCCCCUCACUGGUUCAAAGUGGAAAGCCCAAAAACCCCAAUUUAAGCUUCAGUUCAAAGCUGACAGCACCAGUAUUUCUUGUCUCCCUUGACCAGCCAAAGCUCCCACGACACCCAAACGGCUAGCCACACUCCCUGCCAGUGCUAGGACAUGCUAGACACGUCCAAAGUGCCUCAGAGCGCACCAGCAUGACGUGGCAUGCCAAAACUGUGCUCUAGGCGCGCUACAGGAAUCCAUUGAGGUGGGGGCGACGCUCUCGGCCAGUUCCAGCCUCCCCCGAGGUGUCCAACCUCUUCCCCGACAACCCCUCUGCGUCGAGCAACCAUCAGGGCCCCUCCUCUCCCGCGCUAGAGCUCGUGCGACGCGUGCCCCCGCGCACCAGAACCGGCCAAGGUUGCGCGACCACGGAUGCUCGACUCCUCCCUCUCUCCCUCUGUAGCAGAUUCUUCUGGCAGCCCAAAACCAUGUCCUGAGACCGUGGUUUCGACCACAACCCCUCUCUGCACCCCCAUGCGCGCCAAAGUGAGUCACUGGCGCUCCCGAAUCAUCUCACCGUCACGGGCCUAUUUAUAGCCCUCCCCCUCGCUCUAGCACCCCUCAAACAACUUCACCACGACCACCAGCACCUCCCUAGCCACCCCAACAAGCUAGCAGAGCCCCGGUGCUCGAGAUCAACGGAGGCCCCUCCGCCUCGGAGCUACGGUUGAUCUACGGCUACACGUCGGCUCCUGCUUUCCCCGACCUAUCAAACUGAUCCCCUCGACCUCAGGAAGCUUUCCCCCAACUUUCCCGAGCAUUUCCGUGCCCUAGCUACCUCCUCGACCACCUCCCGAAACUCCUCCGCCGCGGCCUUCUCGUCGCCUGCAAACCCCUGCCUCUCCGUCGCUGUUCCGACCACCAGCAGGUAGGCGGCAUCAUGCCGAACCCAUUCCUGUCCUUACACUACAAGAAAUAAGGUCAAUUAUGACUGCCUACAUUGGUCAUUGAUUCGUCAUUGUUGUUGUUUAUUGACCUUUUUUUGACCAAAUUAACAAGGUCAACAGUUGGCCGUCAAGAAUGAACAAACUUGACCUUUCUAAAAUUUUGGUUAUAGAGCUCUAUUGACCAAAAUUUUGGUUUGGUCAUUACUCAUUUGUGUGAGCCACGUAGGAUCUGACGUGGUUGUGUUGACAUGGCAUUGCUAGUGACCAAAUGAAAUCAUCAUAAAUUUCACAGCCCAAUUCAAUAAUCUUGUCUACAUGGGCCUUCACCAAUACUAUUUUAUUAUUAAAAAUGUCUAAAUUGUUUAGGAUGAUGCAUUAUUUUCCCAAAAGCAUGUAUAUCUCAAGAUAGGCCCAUUAAAAACAAGUACAAAAGAAAAAAGAUUGCAAAUUAGUUGUAUAUAUUUCAUUUCAGUAACACAUCACAUGAAUUACAAUACAUCAUCAAUCGACUCCUCUACACAUAAAGGUUCAAGGCCCAACAAGUGCACAACAAAAUAGUUCUGCAAGUGCAGGUGCAUAGCAAAAGGGCCCAACAAGUGCAUAAUCACACAUCAACAUAGUUCGACAAAGAUUGAAUGAGAAGCACAAGAUUUUGUUGAUCACACAUAACAUCAAUCAUAAACAAGUUUCUUGUUCCCUCCUCCUGACCUGUCCUCUACUUCUUCUGGGUGCUUCAGAUAAUCCUGGUAAUUCAAAUAAUCAAACAUAAGAAAGCAUACAAAAUAACCAGUGGUAGUGUAUUGAGCUCUGACUACGCGUAUGUUUGCAUGUACUAGAGGCUGGGGCGCCACCUAGAAGUUACACUGUCCAGAUUAGCACCAUACUUAAUAGAAGCUGCCAAAUGCAAGUAUUUUAACAGUUAACUAUCCAGGUCAAUAACAAGAAUACAAACGCCAGAAAUAAUAUUUGAUAGGCAGUUUCCUAUCAAGUUUAUACAUUGUAAGGUAACACUACAGUUCUUUUUAAAAAUUAAAAAUAGCAAUUCAAAAUCAACUGAUAACGAUGGCCUGUGCCCCAACCUAGAAAUAUCCAUGGCGUCAAUGGCCAGCAUACAAGUUACCGUAGCACGAUGGCUGCGGACACCACAUAGAGCAGAAGAGAAACCACAGGAGAGGAAGCAGGUGGCUUACCAACGCUAUAGUAGGAGAAAAAGCGGACAUCGCAAGUGCGGGGGGAGCCGCUCCUGCGCUAGCGGUAGCAAAAACAGUCGGGUCCCAGCAACAUGCGUACUGGUUUGAGUACCAACAUAAAGACUCCCCCUGGUUUGAGUAGCCUACAAUAUGAAGAUACCACUCAUAAGAAUGUAGGAAUGCUGAACUUAACAAUAUAUUGGUGCACAGGAGACUGUAAGUGAUGCUUCAAUGGGGUAAAGUAUUAAGAACCUGUCCACUUCCAGAACCAUCUAAAACUUCUACCUACAGACUUCUAAAAAGAUAUCCAUUACGUAUAUUUGUAUAUUGGAGGUUAUACUGGUUACCGGUUUGCAGAGUGUUUUCAA
rnacentral:lncRNA from 1 species